rnacentral:rRNA from 1 species
ACUCCCCAAAAUCUAGGAAACCAUGGAAAUGGCAUGACCCGUACCCGAAUCCGUGUGCAAGUGCCUCCGAGGUAGCAUUUAGUUGGGGAGGGAAGGUUUUAUUAAGGAUAACAAUUGACUGUACUAAAGAAUAAGCACAGGCUACUUGUCAGCAGCGCGUAUACAGAGGUGCGAGCGUAUCGAUACUGGCGUACGGCGGGUAGCGUAUAUAAGUGAUGUGAAAUCCUGGGCUUAACCUAGACUGCAUCGAAACUGUAUAGCUGAGUGCUGUAGAGGGUAGUGAAUUUCCGUGUAGCGGUGAAAUGCGUAGAUAUCGGAAGGAACACCAGUGGCGAAGGCGGCUACCUGGACAGACACUGACGCUGAGCGCGAGAGCGUGUGAGCAAACAGGAUUAGAUACCUGGUAGACACGCUGUAAACGAUGAGAACUAGAUGUUGGUAGGCUUGGACCUAUUAGUAUCGAAGCUAACGCGAUAAGUUCUCCGCCUGGGGAGUACGACCGCAAGGUUAAAACUCAAAGGAAUUGACGGGGACCCGCACAAGCGGUGGAGCAUGUGGUUUAAUUCGAUGCAACGCGAAGAACCUUACCUACCCUUGACAUGUCAGGAAAUUUGCAGAGAUGCGAAGGUGCCGAAAGGAACCUGAACACAGGUGCUGCAUGGCUGUCGUCAGCUCGUGUUGUGAGAUGUUGGGUUAAGUCCCGUAACGAGCGCAACCCUUAUCCUUAGUUACCAGCGAGUCAAGUCGGGGACUCUAAGGAGACUGCCGGUGAUGAACCGGAGGAAGGCGGGGACGACGUCAAGUCAUCAUGGCCUUUAUGGGUAGGGCAACACACGUGCUACAAUGGUCGGUACAGAGGGAAGCCAACUCGCGAGAGGGAGCCAAUCCCAGAAAGCCGAUCGUAGUCCGGAUUGGAGUCUGCAACUCGACUCCAUGAAGUCGGAAUCGCUAGUAAUCGCGAAUCAGAAUGUCGCGGUGAAUACGUUCCCGGGCCUUGUACACACCGCCCGUCACACCAUGGGAGUGGGUUGUACCAGAAGUAGGUAGAAUAACCUUCGGGGGUUCGCUUACCACGGUAUGGUUCAUGACUGGGGUGAAGUCGUAACAAGGU